rnacentral:rRNA from 1 species
CGGACGGGUGAGUAAUGCUUGGGAAUCUAGCUUAUGGAGGGGGGUAACUACGGGAAACUGUAGCUAAUACCGCGUAAUAUCGAAAGAUUAAAGUGUGGGACCUUCGGGCCACAUGCCAUAGGAUGAGCCCAAGUGGGAUUAGGUAGUUGGUGAGGUAAGGGCUCACCAAGCCGACGAUCUCUAGCUGGUCUGAGAGGAUGACCAGCCACACUGGGACUGAGACACGGCCCAG